AGCGGCGGAUGGGUGAGUAACACGUGGGGAACCUGCCCCUAAGUCUGGGAUACCAUUUGGAAACAGGUGCUAAUACCGGAUAAUAAAGCAGAUCGCAUGAUCAGCUUUUGAAAGGCGGCGUAAGCUGUCGCUAAGGGAUGGCCCCGCGGUGCAUUAGCUAGUUGGUAAGGUAACGGCUUACCAAGGCGACGAUGCAUAGCCGAGUUGAGAGACUGAUCGGCCACAUUGGGACUGAGACACGGCCCAAACUCCUACGGGAGGCAGCAGUAGGGAAUCUUCCACAAUGGACGCAAGUCUGAUGGAGCAACGCCGCGUGAGUGAAGAAGGUUUUCGGAUCGUAAAGCUCUGUUGUUGGUGAAGAAGGAUAGAGGUAGUAACUGGCCUUUACUUGACGGUAAUCAACCAGAAAGUCACGGCUAACUACGUGCCAGCAGCCGCGGUAAUACGUAGGUGACAAGCGUUGUCCGGAUUUAUUGGGCGUAAAGCGAGCGCAGGCGGAAAAAUAAGUCUAAUGUGAAAGCCCUCGGCUUAACCGAGGAACUGCAUCGGAAACUGUUUUUCUUGAGUGCAGAAGAGGAGAGUGGAACUCCAUGUGUAGCGGUGGAAUGCGUAGAUAUAUGGAAGAACACCAGUGGCGAAGGCGGCUCUCUGGUCUGCAACUGACGCUGAGGCUCGAAAGCAUGGGUAGCGAACAGGAUUAGAUACCCUGGUAGUCCAUGCCGUAAACGAUGAGUGCUAAGUGU
rnacentral:rRNA from 1 species